CCCUGGCUCAGGACGAACGCUGGCGGCAUGCUUAAUACAUGCAAGUCGAGCGGAGUAAGAAUGGAAGCUUGCUUCCAUUCUUACUUAGCGGCGGACGGGUGAGUAACACGUAGGCAACCUGCCCUCAAGACUGGGAUAACUACCGGAAACGGUAGCUAAUACCGGAUAAUUUCUUUCCUCUCCUGAAGAGAGAAUGAAAGGCGGAGCAAUCUGCCACUUGGGGAUGGGCCUGCGGCGCAUUAGCUAGUUGGUGGGGUAACGGCUCACCAAGGCGACGAUGCGUAGCCGACCUGAGAGGGUGAACGGCCACACUGGGACUGAGACACGGCCCAGACUCCUACGGGAGGCAGCAGUAGGGAAUCUUCCGCAAUGGGCGAAAGCCUGACGGAGCAAUGCCGCGUGAGUGAUGAAGGUUUUCGGAUCGUAAAGCUCUGUUGCCAGGGAAGAACGUCCGGUAGAGUAACUGCUACCGGAGUGACGGUACCUGAGAAGAAAGCCCCGGCUAACUA
rnacentral:rRNA from 1 species